rfam:Oryza barthii chromosome 1, whole genome shotgun sequence.
AAAAACUCAAUUACUAGGUUUUCGUAUCUAACAUUUGACCGUCCGUCUUAUUUGAAAAAUUUAUAAAAAAUUUAAAAAUAUUUAGUCGCACAUAAAGUACUAUUCAUGUUUUAUCAUCUAAUAGAAAAAAAAUACUAAUCAUAAAAUAAUUUCAAAUAAGACGAACGGUCAAACGUUGAACGUGAAUAGUGCAAAACUACACUUAUU